GGAGGGUACAGCUCAGUGGUAGAGCACAUGCUUAGCAUGCAUAAGGUCCUGGGUUCAAUCCCCAAUCCCUCCA
rnacentral:tRNA from 1 species